GAUGAACGCUGACAGAAUGCUUAACACAUGCAAGUCUUUGGCGAAGCUGUGCUUGCACAGCCUAGCCAAGGCGGACGGGUGAGUAACGCGUAAGGAACUUGCCCUGCAGUCAGGGAUAACAGACGGAAACGACUGAUAAGACCUGGUAAAGUCAGGCGGACUCAUGUCCAGCCUGAUGAAAAGAGAUGCUGCAGGAGAGCCUUGCGUCCUAUUAGCUUGUUGGUGGGGUAACGGCCCACCAAGGCGAUGAUAGGUAGCCGGCCUGAGAGGGUGGACGGCCACAAGGGGACUGAGAUACGGCCCUUACUCCUACGGGAGGCAGCAGUGGGGAAUAUUGGACAAUGGGGGCAACCCUGAUCCAGCAAUGCUGUGUGCACGAUGAAGGUUUUCGGAUUGUAAAGUGCUUUCAGCAGGGAAGAAAAAAAUGACGGUACCUGCAGAAGAAGCGACGGCUAAAUACGU
rnacentral:rRNA from 1 species